GCUUACGGCCACACCGCCUGGUUCACGCCCGAUCUCGUUUGAUCUCGGAAGAUAAGAUAGGUUGGGCCUGGUUAGUACUUGGAUGGGAGACCGCCUAGGCAUACCAGGUGCUGUAAGGC
ensembl:rRNA 5S_rRNA 5S ribosomal RNA